rnacentral:rRNA from 1 species
ACUCAAAGGAAUUGACGGGGGCCCGCACAAGCGGUGGAUCAUGUGGUUUAAUUCGAAGCAACGCGAAGAACCUUACCUGGGUUUGACAUCUCUGGACAUCCGUAGAGAUACGGCUUUCGUAGCAAUACGACCAGAAGACAGGUGCUGCAUGGCUGUCGUCAGCUCGUGUGGUGACAUGUUGGGUUAAGUCCCGCAACGAGCGCAACCCUUGUCCUUAGUUGCCAGCAUUCAGUUGGGCUCUCUAAGGAGACUGCCGUGGUUAACACGGAGGAAGGUGGGGAUGACGUCAAGUCCUCAUGGCCUUUAUAUCCAGGGCGACACACGUGAUACAAUGGACGGUACAGAGGGAUGCGAACCCGCGAGGGGGAGCCAAUCCCAAAAAGCCGUUCUCAGUUCGGAUUGGAGUCUGCAACUCGACUCCAUGAAGUUGGAAUCGCUAGUAAUCGCGGAUCAGCACGCCGCGGUGAAUACGUUCCCGGGCCUUGUACACACCGCCCGU